UUUUUUGAAAGGUAAAUUUAUUAUGACUCUUGGUUUUUAUUUCGAUGAAAGUCUUAAAGUAAAAAUACAAAUAUAUUCGUAUUUCAUAACCCAUAUGAUGUACCCUUUUAUUAUUCUUUCGCCUUUUGAAAAGGUUCAAGACAUUUGCAAUUGAACCUCUUAUGCUUAGCCCUAUAUCUAUGCGUUUUCUUAUGAUCCUCGAGCUCCUCGCUACUUGAUGACUCUUCAGUGCUUGCGUAUGCAGUAGAAACGUCAAAGGCAUUAUCAAGAGGCCCAUGUCUAGGGUUUUCCUUAUGUUCGGUACUUUCGCUUAAAGAAUAAAGCCAUGAUGAUUCUCCGUCCAUAAGGUGAUGCCACCUUGCACGGUAUUUGCCGCAUGGGCAAGCAGUUGGGGUUUCACCCCCCUUUACACUAUUCUUUUCUAUAUUGGAUUCAGUCGAACCCUCCAUAGUCCCAGCCGUCAUAGCCAUCAGAAAUGGUAAAAUCCACACACAUCCCAUCCUGUAGCAGAUCAAUUAUACACUGAUUAGGUCACUCUUAAGUGAAUUACAUUUAAAUCCUUUUCGGUUACAUAAGAGACUUUGCGUAAAACGCCACGGUGAAACGAAACUAAUGAUCGACUUGUACAUAAUUAUACCCGGUCUCCAUAGAAAAAAGGGGGAAUAUUAGAUUGGCUUAAACCAAUAUAACAGCUACUGACAAAUAUUCCGAUUGGAUACUACUUAAUAAGAGGAACGAGGCGAGUCGAGCCUUGAUUUUCGAUCAAUACUAAACGAGUGUGCAAUGUAUACAAAAUAGCUUGUGCCACACUUUUAUGUAGCUACAAAUACCAAAAGCUUGCAGCACAAAUUUGAGGAAACUUCAAAAUAGGCAGCCAAAAGCAAGAGGAAACCCUUAAAAUAAAAUAUUCUUAAUCUUUAUAUACUGUACGAGACCCUUGAUGCCCGAAACUCUUGCUUAAAAAUCGAUAUUUAUCGAUAUUAAAAAUUAGGUCAACAUUCAGA